GGCGUGUGUCCUCCUGGAGGCAGCUGGCAGUAUUUGACUUUCUGAUGAAAAGGGCAGGUUAUCCAGGUGGCUGCUUCCCAUCCUCCAGGUGAGAGCAGCUCAUUUUGCCCAGUAGCUGUCUGAAGAAGCAGACCCUGGUCACCAUCUAGAGUCAACACACCCCAGUAAGCGCGACUCCCCCGACUUUGGCAUUUCCCUACAGGCCUUGUCAGUUUAAAAUGUUCUGAAACACGAGCACAGUUUUGAAUUUCACACUGCAGCAAACCAGCACGACUGCACCCCAGGCUCUGACCGCCUGCUACGCCCGCAGCAGGAGCCCGUGGUGCUCCGCGGGCAGGAGCCCCCUCCUCACACUGCUGACAAACUGGGGUAUGGGGGGCGCAGCGUAGGCACAGGCAGCCACAGGCAGCACGAAUACUGGAACAACUAAAAGCUUCCAAGUUUGGCUACAGCGAGUCGUUCACAGUCAAGCUGAACAGAACAAGUACAGAUGAAUUAGCUAGUUAAAAAAAAAAAAAAUACUUUGGUGGGAGAUCGCAUUCCCAGUGUUUAUAGCAUCACUGCAGUCCUGAAGUCAGCACUGUCCUUGUCCCACUGAUAAAUAUUCAAAAAAUAUUUCAGCACAGCCGCGUUCUAAGCUGCUUCUAUAAAGGGUCUGGCUAUAGGUUAGCCAAAUUUUUAGCAAAACUAAAGUUAACUCUGGAAUAACUCAGCCCAAAUUAGCUGCUACUGAAGUCGUACAAAUUCUCAAGUGAGCCGGGCUACGUUUGCAUGUUCCAGAUGGGAAAACCUAGCUCCCCUGUAUUCAAAAAUCAUAUGGUGGACAAAAGCAGCAGCAAAGUAUGACUCGAGUGUCGCCAAAUUCUGUAACCGUGUGUCUCCUUUGAGAUUCUCGAGGCCUAGUCAGUUUUUGAAAAUCCUUAGCCGCCCGCGUCACGUCUUUCAGCAAAUCCAGGUGACGACAGAAGUACAGCUUUGCUUUUCGAUUUGUGUCUCCCGCCCCGCGUCUCUUUCGUUAUGGCUUUCUGGGUAAUGCUGGAAAGCGAUGCUCUGCUGCUCGGCACGCCGUGUCAUGUGGUGACGCUCGGUUCUGUCCACACACGCGAACUUUCCUGCUUCGUGCUGGAGAGUCUUUUCUUUGGGAGGGGUUUGAGUCCAAAGAGCCGGCAAGCGGCGAUUCGGUACUUCUUGGACAUGAUGUUGUAGAGGAUGGGGUUGAUGGCGGCGCUAAGGUAGAAGAGGACAAAGGACACCAAGUUGCAGUACUGGCUGAUCACUGCUAUCUCCAAGGAUCCGGCUUCAAAGGAUUUGGAAAAUAAAUACCGUCCUACGUGAAAAGGCAACCAGCAGAGUAUGAAAGCAAAUACCACCACAACUAAAAUGAAAACAGCAGAAGAAAGUGUGUUAAGUGUGAGUAGGGAAAUAUGGGUGAUUUAAAUGAAAUGUCAUUCUAUCUCUGUAACGAAAUAAUCCCAAAGUGUGAAAAUGCACCCUAUAAUUUUUCAUUUUAUCUCAAGCACAUUUUCUGACAGCAUAAAUUAGCAAUACAUACUACAAAUCAGCCAUAUCUAAACAACCUGCCCGUAUACUGCAUGCUGUAGCACACUUCUGAACCAUCAAACUUAUCUUUUCCAUAAAAGGAGAGAAUUCAGGAAUCAGAAUGGUGACAAAAAAUGUAAUAUAAUCUAUCAUCUUCAUCUACCAAAGCAAGAUAUAUACAAUGCGAUAGACUCAACACUGUGGGUUUUAAUGAAAAAUGUAAUCACUGGGAAGCAAAAUGAUUGAAGGCAGGGGCCCAAAGAUAAAAUAAGCCAUCAUCCGGAUCAGUAGAGCACGUACACCAAGGUAACAACAAAAAAGCGGUCUCCCCCUCCAGUUUGUCUGUGCUUUGGAACAUGAGUUACUCCACGAAAGGUAAACACAUAACGUAUAACUACAUAGUUACAGUUACACGGCACAUCUGUAAUAUUACACCAUCACUAUGGUUAUGCAUAUGUAUAUUUGUGUUAUAUAAAAUACAGGUAGAGUAAUAGGAACGUAAUAGGAAUCUUUGAACACUGAGAAAGGGAAACUUCUGUUCACUUACUCUGUGCUAUUGACCUUUGUUGUUUUUCAUACAGUUUUGUGUGUAUCUAGUAAUAUAAAAACGAACAAAACCACAGAAAACUCAAGGUUUUCUGAUGUUCCUAAGCAAUUGUUCCCAGCUAAUCUGUUUUCUCUUGUUCACAGUCCUGCUUGCCUAUGUCAACAUAUAGCAGAUACAAAAUUCAAAGAGCUAAGAGGGAUCAUAAUCAGCAUAUUUCCCAAAAAACUUUAUGAAAAAGCAUUCCUUUGCUUACAUAGGUACUUAUGUAGGACUAAUGAUGGACUCUAAAGUACAGAGCUGGAAUUCAGAGUAUCUGUUUUCCACCUCUGCAUCUUCUUGAGCCAACUAGUGCCCUUUUUCCUCAGUUUCUCCACCUGUGCAGUUCAGAUAAUGUUUCCCUCACUCACUAGUUACUGCAUUCUAGAAUUUAAUGCAUGUAAUGAAUAUUACCACCAUUGUGGUCAUUAUAAACAGUAUUUUAAGCAUUACUAA